GAAUUCACACAUCUCCUGCAUCUCUAUAGUCAUGUGCCAUUGAGUGAGCUCAUUUGACACCAGUCUGAACCAGCCCACCUGACUGUCGCACCAUACAACAUGAACAACAAACUCAGUUCUCAAGCAAUAGAAAUGACAGAUGAUUAAAGUUAACAAACUUGUACCAGUGAUAACAACUCUGAUAUCAACGGAGAGGUGUGGAGGUUGUGUGAUGGAGCUGUUAGAUCUGUCCGACUUACUGUCCGGGAUAUCUACAACUGCGGGGGAAACGAUAUCGGGCUUUGUAUCUAUCUCUGGCUUAGCUUCCUCUUCUGAAAUUUUUUGUUGAUAUUUGAAACAUAUAUUUCAAAUUUAAACAAGAAUUCUAAUCCACUGUGCAAAAAAGAUCUCGACUGUCAGCAUCAUCCACUAUGGAGGAGGGUGACCCCGGCCUGCCCUCCGUGCCUCCUCGUCCCUCCUUACUGUUCACAAAUACAAACACUUCAUUACACAACAACUCGCUUAAUUCUUACACAUAAACAGCUGAUGUGUUACAAAUAAAUAUUCAUAUCUGGUUGAAAUAUCUCUGUGAUAGUACGAAAAAAUUAACCCAAUCUUUAUUAGUAAAUGAUAAUUAAGGUACAUGUAGUAUGGAUUUUUAGAUUUACAAUAAACAUAUCAAUUAAGUAACCUCUCCCAAACAAAGGAUUAUAAAACAAAAGCACGUCAGAAUCAACAAAAAAGGAUUUGCACAUUUUAUAAAUAUAACAUGUCUUCUGAAUAUCUGCUCAUCAAAUUACAUUUCAUUCAAUUACAGGAGCACUUUAAGAUACAAAACUGUAAAAUAGGAAAAACUUAAAGAUAAUUAAUAUGAAUAUAUUAAUUAUACACACGUUAAUACUUCAUCAUGGAUAAUGAAUUAAGACUGAAUGAAUAAGACAGGAUGUUAAGUCUGUAUAAUUAUGAAGAAUUUCUUAGAGUCACAAAAAUUAAAAAAAAAAAAGUGGCCAAGUGAAAAUACUACACCAGACACUUUAUUGAGUGAUUUCAAGUGAGACAAAGGCAGAAAUACUGAGUGAACUGGUGGAGAGGCUUAUUGGUUGUUUCAGAAAGGUUAGAGAAACACAGUGAUUGGGUGGUUGCACUCUGCACAUGCAGUGUUCAAAACACCAAGACUUACUCCGGUUCUGGCACCAUGGAAGGCUCUGGCGAUGCACUGUUUGACACACAAAGUAUCAAAGCAUUAUUUUUAGACUGUCACUUUAUAAGCACCAACAUUUAACAAUAUCCAUUUUCUUUUUCAAGCACAAAGCUAAUUUAUUAAUUUUUUUUUCUACUACCAGUGUGAACACAUUCCACAGAAACUUUUACAUUUGUUAUCAAAGCCAAUUAUAAUUUACUCAUCAUGCAAUAAAUUAAUAAAUUAACAA